GAUUUCUGACCUGACACAUUUGGCCGGCCGCGAUUUCGCGUGUUAGUGCUUUAUGUUCUGGUCAUCCUUCCAAUCGCAAUUGGCUCUUCUUCAUUGAUUGGUCAGUUGUAUUGGAUCUUUUACUUUGAAAAAAUUAGAGUGUUUCAAGCAGGCAUGUUUUGCUAUGAAUACAUUAGCAUGGAAUAAUAAUCUAGGACUUUCGGUUCUAUUUUGUUGGUGUUCUGGAGCUGAAGUAAUGAUUGAUAGGGAUAGUUGGGGGUGCUAGUAUUCAAUGGCCAGAGGUGAAAUUCUCGGAUUCCUUGAAGACUAACUUAUGCGAAAGCAUU
rnacentral:rRNA from 1 species